CUUGCACCUUUCAAGCGAGUGGCGAACGGGUGAGUAACACGUGGAUAACCUGCCUCAAGGCUGGGGAUAACAUUUGGAAACAGAUGCUAAUACCGAAUAAAACUUAGUAUCGCAUGAUACAAAGUUGAAAGGCGCUACGGCGUCACCUAGAGAUGGGUCCGCGGUGCAUUAGUUAGUUGGUGGGGUAAAGGCCUACCAAGACAAUGAUGCAUAGCCGAGUUGAGAGACUGAUCGGCCACAUUGGGACUGAGACACGGCCCAAACUCCUACGGGAGGCUGCAGUAGGGAAUCUUCCACAAUGGGCGAAAGCCUGAUGGAGCAACGCCGCGUGUGUGAUGAAGGCUUUAGGGUCGUAAAGCACUGUUGUAUGGGAAGAAAUGCUAGAAUAGGGAAUGAUUCUAGUUCGACGGUACCAUACCAGAAAGGGACGGCUAAAUACGUGCCAGCAGCCGCGGUAAUACGUAUGUCCCGAGCGUUAUCCGGAUUUAUUGGGCGUAAAGCGAGCGCAGACGGUUGAUUAAGUCUGAUGUGAAAGCCCGGAGCUCAACUCCGGAAUGGCAUUGGAAACUGGUUAACUUGAGUGUUGUAGAGGUAAGUGGAACUCCUUGGUGAGGGGCGCGG
rnacentral:rRNA from 1 species